UCAACUUCAAUGAGUUUGGCUCAGGGGACCAAGGUGUUGACUAGAGUGUCUGAAGAUAGAAUUUCAUGCUCUUCUUCUUCAUCAGUAUUUAGUGACACAGUCAGUCUCUUUACCAAAGUUAUGGUAAGCCAGGUCAUGUACUCUGCUGAUUCUGAUGCAGAAAGUAGAGGAUCCUCUCCAACUAAAUCUCUCCAAACAUCUGAAACCUCUCUAUCUGAUGUAGGCAAUCUAUUGAGUGGCAAGUCCUCCCCUCGGCUGUCUCCUUCUGGCGUCAUUAUGGCAACAAGCGAGACCUCCAAUGCAGCACAAAUGUUUAAGGCCAACAUUGAUGGAGAGGAAGUGGAUACCACCAGUCAUUCUGGUGUAGCUCAAAACAUUGUCAGGGACGAUAUGUCAACCAGCCCAGACAUGGUCAAAGAUGUCACACAUCCAACCCCAUCCUCUGAUAACUUGGGCAGUGAUGACGACGUCACCGGCCUCAUCAGCAUGUUAGUAAUGAGAAUUCUAACAAAAAUCCAAAUCCCAACAGAAGAUUACCCAGUUGAUGUCACACGCAGUUAUGGAGGUCUUCUGUGCAUGGUCAGGCUGCUCUGAGACACAAGCCUAUCCAGAGAACUUGAGGAUUCAUAAAGUCUACAGAGCCAUCUAUAAAAAUCUGUUGGGGAGUUUGGCUCUGCGAAAAUCCUCCAACAGGCCGUGUCGACUCAGGACUCUUCAUUUCAUAAGAUUCUUGUCAAGUCUUUGAGUGAAGCGCUUCUCCACAGGGCAGCCUCAAGAACAUCAGUCAAAACCACCGGGCCUAAGGCUCUUCCACUGGCUGAGGAUGUGAGGACUAGCAGGGGAAAUGAUCUUUUCUACAAAGGCUGGUCAGGCUGACAAGCAACUUAAAGCUAUUCAAGAAGGGGAACAAGAAGGAUUCCCACCGCUCUGAAUCAGAACAAGUACAGAGCACUGCUGAAGAUGGCAUGUUGCCCAGCAUAGUGCCAAAGGAUCUCCCCGCCAGCUCCCAACAGGAGACGCCUCACAAACGUCCACUUCUCGUCAGGAUGUUUUCUGCCAUCUCCAAAGGCCUGUUCAAGCCCUUCAAACAGUCCUUAAAGACCAAGUAACUUAAGACAAUUUAUUAAACAUCAUUCAUUGCAUUAAAUUGGCCUUUGUCUUCUUAUGUGCUCCCGUUAACAGACCAGAUUACAAUACUGGUCUUUUAAAUGUUAGCAGUGAUAGCAACAUUAACUAUAGUGGUGUGUAUAGCCCUUCCACAUAGUCUGACUCUUCUGACACUGUGUGACAUGCCCUCUGAUCCAGUGAUCUAGGAUAUUCUGAGUGGCUUUAGGCCUGAAUCUCUGCCCUCCUUCCCAAAUAAAUGUUUUCUCUUCUGAUAUAUCUGCCACUGUCCGCAGCCAGCAGGGGGAAACAGACAGCGCUGUUGAGAGCUUUCUUUUCUCCCUCAUGACUAAAACACUGAGAAAGGCUUUUAUCUAUUGCAGCAUAUUCCAUCUUUUGAUUUAACCUAUUAUACGGUAGUAGUACCCAUUAUUUCCCAACGGUUAUAUCACAGGAAAUGUGUUAUAAAAAGUAA